ensembl:lncRNA
GGCUGCCUCCGCUGCACCUCUUGGAUCAGACGUGCAGUGCGGGGCAACAGAGGCGCAGGGGCAGCCAGGGGCGUCGGCACGGGCAGCUCAGGGGAUGCUGGCUGCCAGCAGAGCGAGUUGCUGAGGAGCCCUGAUUCAGGAUGUGUCUCUUUGCUCAGCUCCCUGCUGGCCCCGGAGGAGUCCGAGUGCUCUGUGCUGGAAGAAGAGGAGUCGAGGCUGCUGGAGACAUCAGGGCUCAGUGGCUCUGUGGCAGUGAUGCGCUGCAUCAGCUCUUGCGUUUGGCAGCUGUUUGCAGUGGCUUUGGUCCCCUCUCUUGUGACACCGGGCAGGUCCUGCUUGUGCUGGGGGACCUCCAGAGCACUCUCCGGAGCCGCUUCUGAAAAAGCAAGAACAUCCCCCGAACGAUGAUGGCAGCCUUCCCACAGCCACUCGGUGCAGGCAGCCACCUCUGGGGGUCACCUCUGCGGAGCACAGUCUCACCGUCAAUCCAGGUGAGCAAACGGUCCAUUUCCACAUCAUCGUUGUCAAGUCUGUGGGUGCUGGGUGUCUCUUCUGGAAAAGGCAGAAAAUGCCCAGCGGGGCAAUGGCAAUGCCGGCUUUCCCACGCCCACUCAGUGCAGACACCCCCCCAGCAGCUCUGCUGCCCCUCCGAGAGAGACUCACCGUUGUUGAUCCACGUGAGCAGGUCAUCGAUGUCUGCGUCGUCGUACAGGAUGCCUGUCUUGGACGUCACUUCUGGAAAAGGCAGAAAAUGCCCAGUGGGGCAAUGCCAGCUUUCUUUCCCACACCCAGUGUGGGUCGGUGGGUGCCAGCAACCCCCCGGAAGAAACCCCUCGCCAGCUCUGCUGCCCCCAAACUCACCGUCGUUGAGCCAUGCCAGGAGAUGCUGGAUGUCCGCCACGUCCUCCGGGAUGUCUGCGCUGGCUGUGGCUGCUGGAAAAGCAAGGACAUCCCCAG